UACGAAGGGGGCUAGCGUUGCUCGGAUUUACUGGGCGUAAAGGGCGCGUAGGCGGAUGUUUAAGUCGGGGGUGAAAGCCCGGGGCUCAACCUCGGAAUUGCCUUCGAUACUGGACAUCUUGAGUACGGGAGAGGUGAGUGGAACUCCGAGUGUAGAGGUGAAAUUCGUAGAUAUUCGGAGGAACACCAGUGGCGAAGGCGGCUCACUGGUCCGGUACUGACGCUGAGGUGCGAAAGCGUGGGGAGCAAACAGG
rnacentral:rRNA from 1 species